UACGGAGGGUGCUAGCGUUGUUCGGAAUUAUUGGGCGUAAAGAGCUCGUAGGCGGUUUGUUGCGUCGGCUGUGAAAUCCCGAGGCUCAACCUCGGGUCUGCAGUCGAUACGAGCAAACUAGAGUGUUGCAGGGGAGACUGGAAUUCCUGGUGUAGCGGUGAAAUGCGCAGAUAUCAGGAGGAACACCGGUGGCGAAGGCGGGUCUCUGGGCAACAACUGACGCUGAGGAGCGAAAGCGUGGGGAGCGAACAGG
rnacentral:rRNA from 1 species